AACCCUUGUGGCCUCAAUAGUUAGAACACCAGAGGUAUUUCGAUCAGACUAAGCAACAACCAACUGAGCAAUAGUAUGAAUCAACUGAAAAAAUUCUAUAUUAGUCACCUCACCUUAAGGAAGAUUAGUAUAAAUCGGGGGAACUCUAGAACAAUCAGGGAUAGGACCCUGAGAUCGAAUGCAAACUCCAAGUGUAGGGCGUACUCCAUCAACAUCA
rnacentral:lncRNA from 1 species